CACACGCAGAGCCGGCAUGUCUGCUAUGAACUCUGUGGUUCAGCCGUACUAAUUUGAUCCAGAGUCUGACCCAGAAGGAGAGGCCCCUGAAGAAAUCCAAACUCUGCGGCUGCAGCAGGACGUUUCUGAAUGGUGCAGCUGUGGAAACUGAGCUACCAUGCCCACAGAAGCUGAGAAUAUCUGCUGUUUGGAGAUACCACAGGUCACCAGACGGCUGCGGGAGGUGGAGGAGCAGCCGUCCUGUAUGGUGGACCAUCCUGGGUUGGAGCCUGUUUGCCUCAGUGUGUACUCUCUGCAGAAAGCCUGCCAG